rnacentral:RNase_MRP_RNA from 1 species
AAGUUCAGUAAGAUUUCUUUUUUCCCCUAGGCUACAGACCAAGGACUUGUUCCUUAUUUGUGCCUGGGGGAAAGUCCCGGGACCUUGGGGCAUAGAGUGCCACGUGCGCGGGCACGUAGACCCUCCCUGCUUUAUACACCCUUAAACCCGCCACGAUUUCUUUUUUCCAUUUUGGAUGACAAUUAUGUGCCUGGCAAUAGAAAUACAGAGUUCGAGGGGACAUAACACUAGUUAUUAUUUCUGAAUU